AGUAAAAAGUCGUAACAAGGUUUCCGUAGGUGAACCUGCGGAAGGAUCAUUACCGAGUGCGGGCCCUCUGGGUCCAACCUCCCAUCCGUGUCUAUCUGUACCCUGUUGCUUCGGCGUGGCCACGGCCCGCCGGAGACUAACAUUUGAACGCUGUCUGAAGUUUGCAGUCUGAGUUUUUAGUUAAACAAUCGUUAAAACUUUCAACAACGGAUCUCUUGGUUCCGGCAUCGAUGAAGAACGCAGCGAAAUGCGAUAAUUAAUGUGAAUUGCAGAAUUCAGUGAAUCAUCGAGUCUUUGAACGCACAUUGCGCCCCCUGGUAUUCCGGGGGGCAUGCCUGUCCGAGCGUCAUUGCUGCCCUCAAGCACGGCUUGUGUGUUGGGCUUCCGUCCCUGGCAACGGGGACGGGCCCAAAAGGCAGUGGCGGCACCAUGUCUGGUCCUCGAGCGUAUGGGGCUUUGUCACCCGCUCCCGUAGGUCCAGCUGGCAGCUAGCCUCGCAACCAAUCUUUUUAACCAGGUUGACCUCGGAUCAGGUAGGGAUACCCGCUGAACUUAAGCAUAUCAAUAAGCGGA
rnacentral:rRNA from 1 species